AGUUUUCGAACUGGUGGGCCCUCGAGUUGUGCCCGACCGUGAGCAGCGAGCUUUCUCCUAGAGACGAAAGAACAGAAACUAACAACUGACUAGCAACUCGAUAACAGUUUCUUUCGACCUUGAUAUGACUCAUGGAAAAGGGGGAAAGUUUCCGCAUCUUCGAAACUUUACCUUCUAGGCGGAAGGUCCCGCGAGCCGGACGAGUCUUCGGGGCUAGCUAGUGCUUCAUGCUUCCUCCAAUGGCAGGUUUUGUGGCGAUACCUGCACAACUCGUCCGCAACGCAUUUCAUUCGGGGACUUGGAGCAGGAUGCUGCGUCUGGGCGUCUCCGUGGUCACAGUGGACUCCUUGUAGAUCGCUCCGCGCUGCCACAGGCAGUGCGUCUGUCUGCGCAGCUUACAGGCUCCCAGAUAUAUUAUGUACUCCGACCCCACGUCGGAGGAACCACGCCUCGAGUCGAUGCCUUCAGUGGUAUGGCAAAGCCGUUCUGUCUCCGUGUGGCAUCUGCUUCAGUGGUAUAAGCGCUACGGCGGGUGUUCACGGCAGGCUCGGCGCACGAUAGAAUAUACGAAACGACCAGUAUAUCCGAGAGGAAGUAUGCGUGAUAGAACUUGAAGGUAGGCGCUUCAUCGUGGACGCUUUCCCGAAAGCCAUUAUCCAUUCCGAAUUCUGGGAUCCAUAGUGAAUCUAACCAUUUUUUCAUCAGAAAAAAAAACGCAGCUGUUCCCGAAGAACGCAUCAUCGAAGGCUGCUAGCGAACGCCUUUCGAAAGAAAAACGUUGCUGCCGCAAGUGGUAUAGUAGUGGCGACAAACGCACCGUAGACAAGGAGUCUUCAGCCGACGUGCAGACGCAUCUCAGUCUUUCUCGACCGGCCACCCACUACUUCUUCCAACAUUUUUUCAUAUAGUUCGAGUUUGAGAGGUUGUCCAACAAAAUUCUAUCUCGUCCACUCUGGAAGUCUAUUCUCCAGCACCGCACGUCUCCUUAUAUUGAUAGCGGCAUUAAUGUCUCGGUUCACAAACUCCAUCCGUUUCUUGCCAUCACUGGAUGUACUUAAUAAUGCGAGUAGUCCACGAACUUUCGCUCUCCUUUCCAUUUGCUCUUCCGUCAAAGGUCCGUGCUUUGCUAUUUCCUCAGGGCUCCGCUAAUACUUUUCCAUCUGGACCCUCUGGAGUGUACACCCCAGUCCAUGGUGUGUAUACGAUGUUCGGAAGUCAUCUACGGGCAUCGUAACGAAACGCCGUGCGCACUCCUUGCACGUUUUUGUCGUUGGAGCUGGCAUAGUCCCUUUUGGGUCUUCCAGCGCCCUGCUCCGUAUGCUACUACGAGCCUCUGACUUUCAUUCUCCCUCCGGGCGCUCAACUGAUUGAAAAAGUUCGAAAACGCCCGCUGCUUCCCACAACAGAAAUUCAUACGCAAACGAGCCCACCGGGGCUUGGUGGAUUCUUUCCACAGGGCAUCCCAAUGAGCAGCGCGAGCCUCCAUGAACUCCCGAAAUGCUUCAAAGUCGGCUCCUCGGCUCGUAACCUCGCUCGAAGCUUCCAGGUGAUCUUUCAUUCCUGAAUUCCAUGAAACGAUUUUCUUCCUCGCAUUCAUUAUACCGGAUUCCCGGUAAUAUCUAGCUCUUGACAACAUCAGCAGACGCUUGUCUUUAUGACGUAAAUUGUCGUCGACAC